rnacentral:rRNA from 1 species
GAUGAACGCUGGCGGCGUGCCUAAUACAUGCAAGUCGAGCGAACGGACGAGAAGCUUGCUCCUCUGAUGUUAGCGGCGGACGGGUGAGUAACACGUGGAUAACCUACCUAUAAGACUGGGAUAACUUCGGGAAACCGGAGCUAAUACCGGCUAAUAUUUUGAACCGCAUGGUUCAAAAGUGAAAGACGGCCUUGCUGUCACUUAUAGACGGAUCCGCGCUGCAUUAGCUAGUUGGUAAGGUAACGGCUUACCAAGGCAACGAUGCAUAGCCGACCUGAGAGGGUGAUCAGCCACACUGGAACUGAGACACGGUCCAGACUCCUACGGGAGGCAGCAGUAGGGAAUCUUCCGCAAUGGGCGAAAGCCUGACGGAGCAACGCCGCGUGAGUGAAGAAGGUCUUCGGGUCGUAAAACUCUUUUGUUAGGGAAGAACAUAUGUGUAAGUAUCUGUGCGCGUCUUGACGGUACCUAAACAGUAAGCCCCGGCUAACUACGUG